UGGGGAAUAUUGCACAAUGGGCGAAAGCCUGAUGCAGCAACGCCGCGUGAGUGAUGAAGGUCUUCGGAGUGUAAAGCUCUGUCUUUUGGGACGAUAAUGACGGUACCAAAGGAGGAAGCCACGGCUAACUACGUGCCAGCAGCCGCGGUAAUACGUAGGUGGCGAGCGUUGUCCGGAUUUACUGGGCGUAAAGGGUGCGUAGGCGGAUGUUUAAGUGAGAUGUGAAAUACCCGGGCUUAACUUGGGUGCUGCAUUUCAAACUGGAUAUCUAGAGUGCAGGAGAGGAGAAUGGAAUUCCUAGUGUAGCGGUGAAAUGCGUAGAGAUUAGGAAGAACACCAGUGGCGAAGGCGAUUCUCUGGACUGUAACUGACGCUGAGGCACGAAAGCGUGGGUAGCAAACAGGAUUAGAUACCCUGGUAGUCCACGCCGUAAACGAUGAGUACUAGGUGCAGGAGGUAUCGACCCCUUCUGUGCCGCAGUAAACACAUUAAGUACUCCGCCUGGGAAGUACGAUCGCAAGAUU
rnacentral:rRNA from 1 species